UCGAACGCCGUAGCAAUACGGAGUGGCAGACGGGUGAGUAACGCGUGGGAACCUUCCCAAUGGUACGGAAUAGCUCAGGGAAACUUGUGGUAAUACCGUAUAAGCCCGAAAGGGGAAAGAUUUAUCGCCAUUGGAUGGGCCCGCGUAGGAUUAGCUAGUUGGUGAGGUAAUGGCUCACCAAGGCGACGAUCCUUAGCUGGUCUGAGAGGACGACCAGCCACACUGGGACUGAGACACGGCCCAGACUCCUACGGGAGGCAGCAGUGGGGAAUAUUGGACAAUGGGCGAAAGCCUGAUCCAGCCAUGCCGCGUGAGUGAUGAAGGCCUUAGGGUUGUAAUGCUCUUUUAGCGGGGAAGAUAAUGACGGUACCCGCAGAAUAAGCCCCGGCUAACUUCGUGCCAGCAGCCGCGGUAAUACGAAGGGGGCUAGCGUUGUUCGGAAUUACUGGGCGUAAAGCGCACGUAGGCGGAUUGGCAAGUCAGAGGUGAAAUCCCGGGGCUCAACCUCGGAACUGCCUUUGAUACUGCCAGUCUAGAGUCCGGAAGAGGUGGGUGGAAUUCCUAGUGUAGAGGUGAAAUUCGCAGAUAUUAGGAAGAACACCGGUGGCGAAGGCGGCCCACUGGUCCG
rnacentral:rRNA from 1 species